CUCGUUUGGUCACCGUGUUGGGAGUGGCGUAUCGCGGAUGUCGUGGACUCGCUUGACCUUCUCAACAUGGCGGCACAAAGGGCGGGGGUAAAUCGAAGUUCCCGAAAGGUCCGUGUCGGAGAGUGGGUGAAAGGUCCUUGCUUCUUGCCGUGUCCUCGGUGGACAGAGAGCUCUGACCUUUGGCCGGAUGGGCUGCCAGUUUUGAGGACCUCUGCAGAGAUCUGCCUGGGAGAAAAAGCAGAGCCAAGCACUGAGAGCUGAUGUGUGAGCUCUGGUGAGGACUGCCGCUCCCCCUGCCUUGGUGUGGGACCUCCUGAGCUCCCCUUCCUGUGCUGGGAGUGUUUCUCCUCUCAUCCAGCCAAGCCAGAGACCUCCUAGGGAACAAGCAGGUAAGGUUUAAGUACCGAGAUCUCCCAAGUAAGAAGUGGCGUGACAAAAGGAAAUGGCCUCAAGUUGCAGCAGGGAAGGCUUAGGUUGGAUUUGAGGAAAAAUUUCUUCACUGAAAGGGUGGUCAGGCCUAGGAGCAGGCUGCCCAGGGAAGCCCCCAUCCCUGGAGACAUUUCAAGGGUGUCCAGAUGUGGUGUUUAGGGACCUGAUUUGGGAGGGGCUUGGCAGUGCUGGGGCAACAGCUGGGCUCAGGGACCUUAGAAGGCUUUUCCAACCUAAAGGAUCCUAUUGUUCUGAAAAGCCUUACCCCUCUGGCUCUAACACAACACCUGGAUGCUGACAAAAGGAGGCUGGUCAUAGACAUUGGAGGUCCCUGUCCCACAGGGAGGGGACAAGCCGGUGUCACCUGCAGGGAGGGUCUCGUCCCCAGAGAGCAGUCAGUGAGUCCAUCCCUGCCCGGGGCUCUGUGUGCACCCUCGGGGUGGACACCUGCCCUCAGGUUUCCCUUUGGGCAUCCAGGAAGAGAACCAGGUCCAUCCAUGUGACAGCUCCAGGGCUUGCAGGCUUUGGGGCUUUGCAGCUGUGCACCUUGUCACAAGGUGGCAGGGACAUGACACUGGCAACGCUCCUGGCCUCGGAACCUUGCUGCUUUCCUCCUUAACUGAUACGGAUUCAUCAGCAAUCCUCUGUGUUUUCUUUAAAACUGUCCUUGGGAUAGUUCAAAGAGAGGGUAGUUAGUUAUUUCAUAUUAACAUAUUUUACCUAUUGGCACUCAAGAGAAAAGACAAAACCUGCUUUGCAUCCUUCUGCCUGGAAGUCGUUGUGACACAGGGAAGUGAGGAAGGGGCUGGCCGGGGUCAGCCUCUGCUGAGCCUCAGCUCUGGCUGCUGCCCCUGCUUCCAGGGUAAACCCAAAAGCUGUCAUGACCAAAAAAGCAGGCAGCCUUUCUGUCCUGGGUCACAGGGGCCAUUUCUUCCUAAAUAACUAAAGAUGGGAAAUUAUUCU